rnacentral:rRNA from 1 species
CAUGUAGGCGGAUUAAUAAGUUUGAAGUGAAAUCCUAUAGCUUAACUAUAGAACUGCUUUGAAAACUGUUAAUCUAGAAUGUGGGAGAGGUAGAUGGAAUUUCUGGUGUAGGGGUAAAAUCCGUAGAGAUCAGAAGGAAUACCGAUUGCGAAGGCGAUCUACUGGAACAUUAUUGACGCUGAGAUGCGAAAGCGUGGGGAGCGAACA